CUCUGUUUAAUUAGUGAGAUGAUUCAUGUUUUCAAUCACAGUUUAUAGCAGGCCCUUUACAGUCAGCCAUAAAGCAGGAGACCGCAGGUCUGCCAGGCCCUCAGGAGCAGCCCAUCUGUGCUCCCUGCGGUGCAGGCACGGCUCCCACAGCUCUGCAGGGAUGGGGUCACCGUGCCAAGGGCCCAGCUGGACCCCAGCACCUGCAGACCUUCACCAGAGCCACCCCUGACCCCUUCCCCGUGGGUCUGAGGCACGGCAGAGCCAGACACCCCCUCCCCUCCCUUCUCCGCCGUGCCCCGGGCCCAGCAUCAGCUCCAGCAGGGAAUUCUCUCGGCUCCCCACUCAGCCCUGGGCUGCUCCCGGCCCGAGCUUGGCUCUGCAGGCCCCGUGUGCCGGCUCCAGCUGCUCCCCACAGCCCUGGGGCUGCCAAGGGCCCUGCCAGGUGCCACUGCUGGCCCUUGGUGGCCGCUGGGCUCCCAGGUGGAGGAGCAGGGGGAGGCUGGCUGCCCCCCUGUGAUUUUCCCAGUGAGAUGAUAAUCAGGGACACCCUGGGACUGGAGGGCUGGGCAGAGUGCUCUGAGCACCCCCAAACCGAGCAGAUGCUGCUGGAUGAGCUCCCCCGAGCUCCCACGGCCGUGGGAGUCACUGCAAUCCUGCCGGGGGUCCUGGGGAGGCCGGCCACGACAAAACAAAUCUUUGGCCCUAAAUCCCCUCUGAAGUGGGGGAAAAGGCUCUUGCAAGCUUGACAAAGGCAGGGUGAGGCAAUGGCAUGCUGAGGCAGUGCCCAGAAACAGGGCACUGCUGUGGAGCAGGGCCUGGCCCGUGGGGCCAGCUGGGACAGAGACCCAAACCAGCCCUGCCCUCCUCCUGCUCAUCUGGGCUGCAGAGAGAGCCAGCAGGGCACCGAGGCUGCUGGGGCUCCAGCCCUGCACAGGACCAGCAGCCACACUCCCAGCUGGGGCUGGAGCCCUGCACAGGACCUGCAGCCACACUCCCAGCCUGGGCUCCAGCCCUGCACAGGAC
rnacentral:lncRNA from 1 species